UUAACUAAAGCCAAAAAGAGGCAUUUCAUUGUUAAUGAGAUAAUUGAGAAAUAACUCUAGUUAAA
rnacentral:tRNA from 1 species